ensembl:lncRNA
CUCAAUUUCAUUACUGUGAGAUCUUGACCUGAGCAGAAAUCAAGGGUUGGACACUUAACCGACUGACCCACCGAGGCACCCCAGGAAUUCCCAAGGCCUUUUUGCAGUUCAUGUUAACAGAAGUUCCAAGGAAUAGAAGUGUUUGGUGGUUGUUGUUUCUGUUUUUCUCUUCUUGUGAAGCCGUUGGGUCUACUGAGGACUAAACCUCAAGUCCAAACCGCAUGAUUGCCCUGCCUCAAGCUGUCCUGUUAGCUGGAGUAUUAUCAACUGGGACUGACAUGAGUAGAACGCAACAGGUUUCCUCCUCCUCCUUCUUAAAGCACUAGAAGAAUUUUCACUGCACGUGCCAAUUCUGGCCUGAAGUCCAUGGUAAAUCUGUGGGAGUUGAACAUACCUUUGGUGUUCGCCACCCGGAUGGUGCUAAACUUGGGGCAGAGGAAAUAAGCCACUUACAUUAUGUGCAUUGCCAUUUAUGUAAUCAAACACUGCAACAGGAUACUGGAAAAGCCUGGGAAGUCUCCACUUUUAGGAUCAUGGAAUUCUGGACGUUAGAGCUGGAAGGAACCUUAUUUCCUCGUUCACAGUGGAGGAGCUGGGUCCUUUCAUAAAAAGGAAAGACAAUCAAAUUACCUGUCCUAGAUAGUUGAGUUACCAGGAGACAUAGUGCCAAACCAGAUAUUCUCCUGGAGUUCUUAUAAACUCCAUUAUUCUUUGGCUUCAUGACUCUGUUGGACACUAACCAAUAAACCCCCCGAACAAUCAGAUUCAUGCUCCCCUCAGUGGCCUGAGAGAAAUAGUGUGGACUGGUUGGGGGUGAUUGUUCAGAAGCCCACAGUCCUGUCCCUUAACUCUUUUCUUCUCUGGAAUCUUCCCCCAUCUUCCCUUCUUGGGCAUCAGCUAACACAGGAAGUGGUACUGCUAUUAUCUGUAGUUUCAGCCAAAUCACCAUUUCCUGAUUCUAAUGUUCAACAACCACUUUUGAAUCCUCCCCCACUUCCUCUCUGCUUCAGUUUGAGGUUCAAAAGCGUCCCGGAGGUAAAUUCGUACUUAGCCGAGCAGAGCGGGGGCCCUGACACCCCUAUGGCUCUGCCAUUAAUUUGCCAUGCUUUGGGCAUCACGCCUCUCCAUUCUGGGCCUCAGUUUUUCCCCUAGCACUAUAUUGGAACAGUGAAGGAAAUCGGAGAAGCAGGGUGGCCUGUAACUGAGAUCUGCCAGCGUCUCAUGUGAAUCGGCAAAUGGAAUCAGAGGAUGCCAGCAUCGAAAUGGCCAGAGUAGCUCUUUGCUGAGGCUGAGUGGGAUUCAAGGAGAGAGAGGCUGUGGGCUCCUCCUUUGAGAUUGCUACAUUUUCUCUGAGGCUGUUUCCUGUCAAAACUCUGGACUCCUACUCCAGGCCCGCUCGGAAAAAAAUCGCAUCCUGGUUUUGUUUCCAAAUCAACAUAGAGGUGAGGAAGUCCUGCUGAGGCCCCCCCCCCCCCCCCCCCCCCCGCAAUGGCAGUCCCCAUGCUUUCUGUUGACAGCCGUGGAAUUAGGGCUAGACAGCGUAGUGACUAGCGCUGGUGAGAUGAAAAACUCACUUCCGGGGGCAGAAUUCCACUGGGAGUUGCAGAACUGCGCAAGUGGGUACCACCUUCUCCUGGGGACUUUGGUAGCCCUCAGCCUCCUCGUCCCCGGGCAUUUCUUUCUUGUGGGAAGAUGUUGAAAGUUUGAGGUCAAAUGACUCGCUCAAGGUCACGGUGUUGGUAGCAAAGCAGAGAUGAAAACCUCAGCCAACAUUUUGCGUCCUUAGCUCUCGUCGGACCAUGCCACAGCCGCUCCUCAGUGAAGGGCCAGUCACACCUCCUGAGGAUGCUGGGCGGGGAUGACUGCUGUUCCGGUCCCCAGUGACCUUUCUCAUCCUGCAGCCCGCUCAGACGGGGGAGGAAGCAGCUCUGGGGCAGAGGGGGUUGCCAUGUGCAGAGCUGGCCUGGCGAAGAU